UACAGAGGGGGCAAGCGUUGUUCGGAAUUACUGGGCGUAAAGGGCGCGUAGGCGGCCGCCUAAGUCAGACGUGAAAUCCCUCGGCUCAACCGGGGAACUGCGUCCGAUACUGGCGAGCUUGAAUCCGGGAGAGGGAUGUGGAAUUCCAGGUGUAGCGGUGAAAUGCGUAGAUAUCUGGAGGAAUACCGGUGGCGAAGGCGGCAUCCUGGACCGGCAUUGACGCUGAGGAGCGAAAGCCAGGGGAGCAAACGGG
rnacentral:rRNA from 1 species